UACGUAGGGUGCGAGCGUUAAUCGGAAUUACUGGGCGUAAAGCGUGCGCAGGCGGUUUUGUAAGUCAGAUGUGAAAUCCCCGGGCUUAACCUGGGAACUGCGUUUGAAACUACAAGGCUAGAGUGUGGCAGAGGGGGGUGGAAUUCCACGUGUAGCAGUGAAAUGCGUAGAGAUGUGGAGGAACGCCGAUGGCGAAGGCAGCCCCCUGGGUUAACACUGACGCUCAGGCACGAAAGCGUGGGGAGCAAACAGG
rnacentral:rRNA from 1 species